rnacentral:snRNA from 1 species
AUACUUACCUGGCAGGGGAGAUACAAUGAUCAAGAAGGUGGUUUUCCCAGGGCGAGGCUUAUCCAUUGCACUCCGGAUGUGCUGACCCCUGUGAUUUCCCCAACUGUGGGAAACUCGACUGCAUAAUUUGUGGUAGUAGGGGACUGCGUUCACACUCUCCCCUA